GAUGAACGCUGGCGGCGUGCCUAAUACAUGCCAGUCGAGCGAACAGAUGAGGAGCUUGCUCCUCUGACGUUAGCGGCGGACGGGUGAGUAACACGUGGAUAACCUACCUAUAAGACUGGGAUAACUUCGGGAAACCGGAGCUAAUACCGGAUAAUAUAUUGAACCGCAUGGUUCAAUAGUGAAAGACGGUUUUGCUGUCACUUAUAGGUGGAUCCGCGCCGCAUUAGCUAGUUGGUAAGGUAACGGCUUACCAAGGCAACGAUGCGUAGCCGACCUGAGAGGGUGAUCGGCCACACUGGAACUGAGACACGGUCCAGACUCCUACGGGAGGCAGCAGUAGGGAAUCUUCCGCAAUGGGCGAAAGCCUGACGGAGCAACGCCGCGUGAGUGAUGAAGGUCUUCGGAUCGUAAAACUCUGUUAUUAGGGAAGAACAAAUGUGUAAGUAACUAUGCACGUCUUGACGGUACCUAAUCAGAAAGCCACGGCUAACUACGUG
rnacentral:rRNA from 1 species